UUGCAUUGUCAGAACAUGGCUUAAAACUAUGCUCUGCUAAUUGGUUGUCUUUGACCUUCUAUGAAAGUGCUCAGUAAUUUCCUACAAAUUUGGAAGAUCAUUUAUUACUAAAGAUGUCAAACUGAAUCAGUUGUAUUUGAAAGAUCAUUUAUCACUACACAAUGAUUGGUACAUGAGCAUCCUAAUUAUAGCUAAUUAUUUUGGUGGUCAAACCAGUGUGUAAAUAAGCGAAUUUUAACAUUCCCUUAAAUUUUCUGUGCGCCUUUCUAAAACCAGUGGUAUUUACCGAGAUACUGGAUUUUAUGUUAUUUUAAUGUUUUGCAUACACUGCGAUAUUAUUUUUCUGCAUUUCGCCCUGCUUGUGUUAUAGGAUUAAUUGGUGAUCUUAUAUGAAUUUAUUGUGGUUCCUCUGUUUCUCGACAGGUACAUGAUGCAUGUCCUACUAUCUUCAAUAUCAGUGAGAAUUGCAUGCCCAUAAGGUUUUCUUAUUCGAUAAUGUGGUUUGGUGUUUGAUACUUGGUAACAACUAAUGUUUUCAUGGUCUACUGGCUAGAUGAGUUUACUCCCUUUCUGGGAAGUGGGAACAUGUGGUAUCAAUAUUUAGCUGAACCCGCAUAUUGUCUCUACUAAAGUUUCUGUAUUGGUUAUCCUUCAUUAAGGUAUUUUGACUCAAUAGAAGCAGGACCCUGUGACUUUUGUCCUUGCUGAUGACAAGUCACAGUGAGAUAUUUUUGUCAUCUAAGAUUUCUAUAUGGUUACGUUUAUGUUCAUAGGUAGGCUCACAGAUCCCCCUUUUUGUUUUCUAUUUAACCACGGAGACCGUCUUAAAGGUCUGCUAAGAGAUGAUUGCUUGGACUAUUUUUACAAUAAAAAUAUACUCUGUUUUAGAUUAUGGUCCACUAAAACUGCCAUGCAUUCUAAUUAUUUUAUGAAUGUCCAUCCAACUAACUAGAUUGCUUACUUUUUUUUCACAUGUAUGGAUUUCUUACUUGGAUGUACAUGAUGCAAGAACUCUCCUUUGACUACGGGUAUUGCGUCUACAGGUGGAUUUAUAGAAAUUUGGAUUUAUCUUUUCCUUCGAGUUGAGAAUUUUAUCAUAUUAUAUAUAUCUUCCGUUGGCCAUAUGUUUGAUCCUACACAAGAGGGCCACACUGAAUUUCACAACAAUCAUGUAGGAUGGAAACAAAAUGCCUUUGCAUUGCUACAUCAUGUUUGGUUCUGGGGACUCAUCAUUGUAUCUUGAGGGAAAAGGUUUAGAAAACCAUUAAAACUGAAUCUUAGGUUUGCUUCAAAGACUAUUUUCACCAGAUCAACAAUUGGAAGAUUUUUUUAACCUCCCCUUGCAAGAUUUUCAAUAUGGUUCUACUAUUUCCGCAUGAAGCUUAUUACUUAAUGAAAUAUACCGUUUAUUAUGUACAAAGAUUGAUUGACAUCAGCUCUCUGAUGUACAGGUAUGCAUAACAGCUUACAAGCUUUAUAGGUAUGCACAACAACCUUCAGAUCAAACAUCUCAACUGUACUUUCAAAAUUGGCAUGCCUCCUAUUAUGUUUUUGAACUGGCUGAUCUGAAAGUAACGACUAAUGCAAGCAUGACCGGAGGAUAGUCGCUCUUAGGACGCAUCCAAACCGUCUGUUUGCGGUACAACUAAGGUAUUUACAUUGUUGGAUGCAAGCUCGAUCAAACGGCCAGAAAGCAACUCUAACAAGUAUCUCAGGAAUUACGUUAGAAUUUAACAUAUUUAGAGCUCAAACAAAAAUUAUGCUUAAUUUCUUUCCACCUAAAUGAACAAGCAUGGCAUUUUCUACCAACUUAAUAAGAGCUUAGAGAUGAAUAUUAGAUUUUGGCUGAAAUGUUAUUUUUGUGCUAUAGUUGUUUGAGAAGUAAUUAUUUCCUGGUUUUCUCUGCAUUAGAAAAUCAAGAAGUUAAUUCAACAAUGCCCUAUUUCAAAUAAAGUAUGUUCCUCCUAUCCUCAAGUUAAUCAUUUUAAUCUUCUUCCUUUUGUUUCUAUUCUGUAGGCAUGAAACAAACACUGAGUUCGAGACACCUUCAAUUAUUUCAGAUCUGGAUUAUUUUUAGUGAUGACCAAAUUCCACAAAUAAAGUAUGUUCCUAUGAUCCUCAAAUUUAUCAUUUUAACCUUCUUCUUUAUUUAUUUUCUGCAGGAACGAAACACACACUUGGUGGACACUGAUGUAGCCUGCUAUGUGGAUUCUUAAAUAGAUUUAUACAUGAAUGCUAAAGCUCCAUGGUGAAUCAUGGUUUUGUCUUUGAUUACUGCUUCCAAUCAUGGUAUAGCUGAAGUAAGAUGUUGAUUGUGCAGUAGCGCGAGUUGAGGAACCAAGUGAAAACUUUAUUUAUAAAACCAAAAAUAUUAAAUGAGGUAUAUUUGUUACAAACUAGCAUCCGUAUUCAUCCGGUGUAACAAUCAAAGAGAGGUAUUUGUUGUUUUUGUUAAGUUCA